rnacentral:rRNA from 1 species
UACGUAGGUGGCAAGCGUUGUCCGGAAUUAUUGGGCGUAAAGCGCGCGCAGGCGGUCUCUUAAGUCUGAUGUGAAAGCCCCCGGCUCAACCGGGGAGGGUCAUUGGAAACUGGGAGACUUGAGUGCAGAAGAGAAGAGUGGAAUUCCACGUGUAGCGGUGGAAAUGACGUAGAGAUGUGGAGGAACACCAGUCGGCGAAGGCGAACUCUUUGGUC